rnacentral:rRNA from 1 species
UGAAUACGAGAUGCUACGGCGUCGAAGCAGUCUAUGUCAUACUUCCAAGAAAAGCUUGCACUGUCAUAAACAAAUAAUGCCUGUACCAUAACCGACACAGGUGGGUAGGUAGAGUAUACUAAGGGGCGCGAGAUAACUCUCUCUAAGGAACUCGGCAAAAUGACUCCGUAACUUCGGGAGAAGGAGUGCCUUAUUUAUAAGGUUGCAAUAACAAGAUCCAAGCAACUGUUUACCAAAAACACAGGUCUCCGCUAAGUCGUAAGACGAUGUAUGGGGGCUGACGCCUGCCCAGUGCCAGAAGGUUAAAGAAGUUGGUUAGCAUCCGCGAAGCUGAUAACUGAAGCCCUGGUGAACGGCGGCCGUAACAAUAACGGUCCUAAGGUAGCGAAAUUCCUUGUCGGGUAAGUUCCGACCCGCACGAAAGGCGUAAUGAUUUGGAUACUGUCUCGGAGAGGGGCUCGGUGAAAUAGACUUGUCUGUGAAGAUGCGGACUACCUGCACCAGGACAGAAAGACCCUAUGAAGCUUUACUGUAACCUGAAAUUGAAAUUGGACUUUACUUGCGCAGUAUAGGUGGGAGGCGUUGAGAAUAUUCUUGCGGGAUUAUUGGAGCCAUCAGUGAGAUACCACUCUUGUAAUGUUAGAUUUCUAACUUUGUAUCAUUAUCUGGUCAAAGAACAGUUUCAGGCGGGCAGUUUGACUGGGGCGGUCGCCUCCUAAACGGUAGCGGAGGCGCACAAAGGUUUCCUCUGAACGGGUAGAAAUCGUAUCUAGAGUGUAAAGGCAUAAGGAAGCUUGACUGUGAGACCUACAAGUCGAGCAGGGACGAAAGUCGGUCUUAGUGAUCUGACGGUGCUGAGUGGAAAGGCCGUCACUCAACGGAUAAAAGUUACUCUAAGGAUAACAGGCUGAUCUCCCCCAAGAGUUCACAUCGACGGGGAGGUUUGGCACCUCGAUGUCGGCUCAUCGCAUCCUGGGGCGGUAGUACGUCCCAAGGGUUGGGCUGUUCGCCCAUGAAAGCGGUACGCGAGCUGGGUUCAGAACGUCGUGAGACAGUUCGGUCCAUAUCCGGUGUAGGCGUUAGAAUAUUGAGAGGAGCCUUCUUUAGUACGAGAGGACCGAGAAGGACAUACCUCUGGUGUACCAGUUAUCGUGCCAACGGUAAACGCUGGGUAGCUAUGUGUGGAGUGGAUAACCGCUGAAAGCAUCUAAGUGGGAAGCCCACCUCAAGAUAAGUAUUCUCAU